GCAUUAGUAGCUCAGUUCAGAGCGCCGGUCUUGUAAACCGGAUGCCGAGGGUUAAACUCCCCCCUACUGCU
rnacentral:tRNA from 1 species